UGAUGAUGAUGAUGACGACGAUGAUGAUGAUGAUUUUUGUAUGUAUGUUGCUCUCUUUCUAGAUACUUUCGUCGUCAUCAUCAAAGUGGUCAGCAGCU
rnacentral:miRNA from 1 species